ACGCUCGACACCUACGGAGGCAGCAGUCGGGAAUAUUGCGCAAUGGAGGAAACUCUGACGCAGUGACGCCGCGUGCAGGAAGAAGGUUUUCGGAUUGUAAACUGCUUUAGACAGGGAAGAAAGAAAUGACAGUACCUGUAGAAUAAGCUCCGGCUAACUACGUGCCAGCAGCCGCGGUAAUCUGAGCGGGCUGGCAAGGC
rnacentral:rRNA from 1 species